rnacentral:rRNA from 1 species
GACGAACGCUGGCGGCGUGCUUAACACAUGCAAGUCGAACGGAAAGGCCCUGCUUUUGUGGGGUGCUCGAGUGGCGAACGGGUGAGUAACACGUGAGUAACCUGCCCUUGACUUUGGGAUAACUUCAGGAAACUGGGGCUAAUACCGGAUAGGAGCUCCUGCUGCAUGGUGGGGGUUGGAAAGUUUCGGCGGUUGGGGAUGGACUCGCGGCUUAUCAGCUUGUUGGUGGGGUAGUGGCUUACCAAGGCUUUGACGGGUAGCCGGCCUGAGAGGGUGACCGGCCACAUUGGGACUGAGAUACGGCCCAGACUCCUACGGGAGGCAGCAGUGGGGAAUAUUGCACAAUGGGCUGAAGCCUGAUGCAGCAACGCCGCGUGCGGGAUGACUGCCUUCGGGUUGUAAACCGCUUUCGCCUGUGACGAAGCGUGAGUGACGGUAAUGGGUAAAGAAGCACCGGCUAACUACGUG